AACGAACGCUGGCGGCGUGGAUAAGACAUGCAAGUCGAACGAUCAUCACGGGGUAGCAAUAUCUUGUGGUGGGAGUGGCGCAAGGGUGCGUAACACGUGGGUAAUCUGCCGCGAAGACUGGGAUAAUCCCGAGAAAUCGGGACUAAUACCGGAUGUGAAUACGAGGAGGCAUUCUUUUUUGUAUUCGAAGCUGGGGACUGUAAC
rnacentral:rRNA from 1 species